rnacentral:lncRNA from 1 species
GCUUUGCAUGAGUCCUGGCCACCACUGCCAUCCCCUGAGAGGAGAUGCAACAGCACCUGCUGAGUGUGCAGCUGGCAGCUAAGGAGGUGGAGCAGCUGCUGUGCCUUGCUUUGUUCUGCCCAGACAGGAGCAGGCAGAGGGUAGGCUAUGUAUCAGAUGGACUUCCACAUCACCAUAGUUCUGGGAGGACUGAAAGACUGUGCUAGCACACCCCACCCUCUAUGCACAGGUGCAGAAUGAUGUGCUCUGGAUACAACUGGAGCCUGCAGGAGGUGCCUUGAAAGCUGACAGAGGUGACACGGGCAGGACUUCUAUAUUUUGACUUAAGCAUUUUAAAACUUAGAGGAAAUAAAAGUCUUCUCUGACACUGAUGGACCAAAACUUAAAUACUGAGUAAGACUUGCUUUCUGGACCCGAAGUACUGUUUUCUAGAUCCAGGCACUGGAAUGCCAGAAUGAAAUCAAAUUGAAAACAUUAGUGGUGGAUUUGUGAUGAUGACCUCAGUAUGACAGGAAUGCACUAUGCUGCUACGAAGAGAACUGAAUGAAACACCCUUCUGUGGAAGAGCCAUCAGCAACACAGCUAAAGCAAAUGGAAAUGCAUCACUGCCAUCACAUCUGUACAGUUCUGCACCUUGUGCCAUCGCUGGCUGAAAGAAAUGACAGCGUGGUGGAAACCUUUGUUCCAG